GACGAACGCUGGCGGCGUGCUUAACACAUGCAAGUCUAACGAAGUGGCGAACGGGUGAGUAACGCGUAAUCAACCUGCCCUUCAGAGGGGGACAACAGUUGGAAACGACUGCUAAUACCGCAUACUGAAGGAGGGGAUUGCGUCUGCUUAGCUAGUUGGAGGGGUAACGGCCCACCAAGGCGAUGAUCAGUCACCGGUCGGAGAGGAUGAACGGCCACAUUGGGCCUGAGACACGGCCCAGACUCCUACGGGAGGCAGCAGUGGGGAAUCUUCCGCAAGUGACGAAAGGCUGACGGAGCAACGCCGCGUGAGGGAGGACGGCCUUCGGGUUGUAAAGCUCUGUUAAUCGGGACGCGGUACCGGAAUAGAAAGCCACGGCUAACUACGAGCAAGCAGCCGCGGUAAUAC
rnacentral:rRNA from 1 species